GUUUGCACUCAUCGGGGAAGGGUGAGAACCUUCGACUAAGGUUCGACUCGAGCGAAAGCGAGAGAACGUUUUCACAGGCAACGGCCCGAAGGGUGAGGAGCGAAGCGACGAAUAAUCCUUCCCCCACCGCCA
rnacentral:sRNA from 9 species